UCCAGACUAAACACGCCUAGUUCUCUUGACCUGUCCUUCAAGAUUUCUAAAGACCCAAGGUUUCCAUAUAGGACACAGCAGAUGGAAGCCCUGCGGUUGCAGCACGAGCUAAGAGAAUGGGCCAAAUUCAGUUCAUGGUGUUCAAACUGGAUCUGAAUUCAGAACUGGAUGUACCCAUUUGGAUUCAGACCACAGAGUUGUGCCUUGAGGAGGCAAGAGACUUCUUGUAGUUUCGACUUUACAACACUUGAUCCAAUGCAACGUCAUGCCAGAGAACAAAUUCACUGUAUCACCCACGUCGCUGGAGAACAUCUAUCCAAACUUGCUUGGAUACUUUCUUUAGGAAAGCAGAGGAGACUCCAGAAAAACCUGCAGCCAAGACUCCUGAGAAGACUCCAGCCAAGAACCCUUCAAAAAGUCCACCAAAGUCACCUCAAAGAAGUCCUUCCAAAUCAAUAUGAUUUCUAUUUACGAUAUAAAUACGUUAAUGUAGCUAUAUUACUCAUCUAUAAUUAAUCAAGUAUAAAAUUCUGGGGUAUUUUUGGUGAAAAUAGGGUAUCGGGCCUUGGUUCAGGAACCAAUCCCUCAUUUAUAAAAUUGUUUCUUAUGAGAAAAUUGGUUCUGAGUUACAACGUUUCAACUUAAGACGCGGUUUUCAGGAACCAAUUGCGUCUUAAGUCCGAGGACUGCCUGUACAGUUAAACGAGAGAGCACAUUGGAUGGUGACUCUGUUUGAGAGAUGAAAGGAGAAACUUCUGAAGACUGUGCCAUGCUUAUAGUGUACAGCAGUAAAAAAGCAGCUGAUGCCAACUAAUUAAAAGAGACAUGUGAGUCGGUGGAGAGACGGGACAAAGUACUAUGGCAAACGCUCCAAACUGCAAACACAAAGUAACAUGGAUCAGAGCAACCCAAGCCAUUCCAGCUGCUGCUGCAAAGAACACUGUUAACCUGCAGACUCGUUAAUUAUGUCACCCUAAUUAGGCUGUGGCAACAUUGAAAAGUUUCUCCCACAGGCAUACUUUGCACGGCAAAUCUAAAAGAGACUCUGUACUCAACGCUGUCAGCAGUACUUUACAAUUAGGCACGUUCCUCCUUUUUCCUCUCAUUUUAGACUCAGUUGCUAACUAUGCCACAAAAACCAGCUGUGCUACCAUCAAGUGUUGACACUACAGAUGAGCACGAGCGAUAGUAAGAAAAACUUUAAUCUUAUGUUAUUCCAAGCUUCCUGUUACAUGGGCUUGUUUGUGCGCCCUUUGUCUCCAAGAUUAGAUCAUGGUUAGUUCAUGCAAAAGAUGAGCUUCAUAUUUUUAAAACUGAUUACGAUUUACAGUUUGUACAAGCCCAGGAUGAAAUAACAGAGGGGGAAAGAAAUGUGGCGCCAUGUAAGAGUACCGGAUAUUACAUUUUCACUCAAGAUAACAUUUUCAGAAGUUCCUUAGUAUUUAGGAGUUUAAAGCUGUUGACUUUCAAGGAGGGCUUGGUUACAGAGGCCAGAUCUACGCUGCUAUAGUUGUGCUGGCAGAACUACGUUGGCUGCGAGCGUGAUGAUCCCGCCCUCCAGCCAACAGGCUGGCAAAGCCCUGAUGUGAAUGCAGCUGUGACCACAAAAGACGGCUUUUGUCGACUCGGCUAACAUCAUUCAGGAGGUGGUGAAGGUGCGACAGCAAAAAACUACCUUCCGCCACUAUGCACGGUGUCUCCAUGACAAGUCUCCACGCACAUUGCUGCGCCAGGGCAGCGGUACCCUGAGAGGAUCUGCAGGACAAGCAGGUUGCCAUCAGAUUUGGGCAGGAGAUCACCAUCCAUCACCACCACGCAGCUUCCUUUCAUUGGCCCACAUCCAUCUCCUCCUCUUGGCAUCUGAAGAUUCGCUCAGAUCCUAGUUGAGAAACCAACCACAUGCCCAACGACACAUGGGGAGCAAGGUGGCCAGUACUAUACCUGGCUGCCUUUGACUCAAGUGCUCUUCUGCUGCUGGGUCAGCUGGAGCUGCCUGUCUGCAUUUGCCCGGAGCCAGUAGCUCCAAACUCAUGCCUUUGGAGCUACAGCAAAGACACCUCAACCAUUCUGCUACGGCACCUCAAUAUGUCGACUACCAACAUCUAAAUGCCAUUGGUUAUGUAUGGGCUGAUGCAACACCAGGAUUAGGUCAGAACAUCCCAACCUGAUCUACACGUUUUCUUCUCAUGAGUGAUCACAAGGAAAUUAGCAACCCCACACAACUACAGGAAGGGAGCAAGGGAGCACAUUUGAGAUAACUGCCAACCUCCUUUCAGCGUGGAGAGUUUUAGUGGCCACCAGCUUUCAUAUUUCUAUCGAUAAAAUCUCAUCAACCUAUUGCCAACAUUUCAUUCCUUGCGUGCACAACACUGAGGCUGAGCAGACAAGACACGCGAUUCCAUGACAGGCUCUAGUGAAAAGGGCAAGUCCUUCUUCCUUUACUGGUGCUCAGUUGGUAGCACAGAAUUUCUCUCUGCAAGGGAACGCUUAAGGUCCCAGGAAUAAAGCCUGUACUCUGUUGGAUUUCAUUCUGGGGAAUGAAGGUGUAUGUAGAUCAGAUUCACAUUUUAAAGAAAGGAUUGGGCUAUUUUAAAGUUAAAACUGAAUUAAAAACAACAACAGUUUGUCAACUUGUGGUGAAUAGUCAUGCCCAGAAGCUUCCCAAAUAGUUUUGAGUUGAGCGAGACAUUUCGCAAAUGCACACACGAAUGAAGCAGAGCUGUUGCAGUUUAAAACCCGGCUGUCCCUUCUCACCCAGCAACAACUCAGGUGAGAUUUCAUGAACAAUUUACUUGUGUGCAUAAACAUAUAUAUAUAUAUAUAUAUAUAUAUAAAUUACAGCAGUUACACACUUCACUAUGAUGGAGCACCGAUAAGCAUCCUAUAAAUGACAGGACUCACCGGAUGGGCUGGAAAGGAUCGGUAUGUUAUCAAGCAGAGUGUCCAGAGCUGGGAAACCUGUGGGCAGCACAGGAAUUUUCCCACGAGCCAAAAUGAAGUACCUGAGCCCAGGGGAAGGAGCAGAUUUUAGAUACAUCCUGCUCUUGGUGUUUCGUGUUGGCUGCUUUAGCCAAGUGACAGUGCUGGAGGCCCCUCAACUCUCCCCAGGCACCCUACAGGGAGUUCAGGCACCUACUUCACACACAAGGUUUCUGCUGCUGUACUCUACAUCCCUUUAAGGAUCUAACCUUUACAGUCUAACAAGGCAGAGUUGGGAAGAGGGGAGGCCCAGAGAAGAAAAAUGGCCCACCCAAGGUCACGCAGCAGGUCAGUGAGGUCCUCAAGUCCCACUUACACAGGCCAGCUACUCCCGAAGGGGCUCCUAAUAGGUGAGGAAAAAAAAUACUGGAUCCUGGUAAAACACACAUUCACUUUAAUGGGGGUAGCACUGGGCAACACGGCAAUGGUGCCUAAGAUGCAUCCAGACUGGUCUAUAUUGGUCAUCUGAACCAUAAGGGGCUCAGUCCUGCUCCUAAGAAAGUCAGCAAGAAUUUCAGAUCAGCAGGAGAACCCUAAAGCAUCACACGCUGCUGCAAAGACCCAACAUGCAGACCCACUCCUGGCUUGGGCCAAACACCCUUUUGCCAGCCAGUUGUCCAUGUUACUUAAAAAGCAGAGGAAACACCUUUAAACUGACCAAGUCAUGUGCUCUGGUAAAAUACGAUCCACAACACAGAAAACCGUGCUGAGGAGCAAGGCCGCAGCAGCAAACGCUAUUUGCAUAGCCCCCUUGGCUCCAGCAAAAGGCUCUGCCUGGGAACACCACCUCACACCCCCAAGAUUAUGGAUGCCUCGCUGCAGCAGAGCAGACAGGCCCAUUAUCGCUAGUCAUGCUAGACAUGAUCAGGGUCCCCGCUUGUACUUUUUUCUAGGUCAAAGACAAGACUGAAGCAGCAGGGGACUGUUUGGGGCAAAGGGGUUAAAACCGCAAUUCUCAAAUUAUCAUGAGAUAAGAGCAGCACAGGAACCAGUAGCCUGUUUUCAGCAUAGAGUCACAACUGGUCGAGUUGUCGUUGCCUGAAAUGUAAACACCUUAGGACGAAGCUGGUCCACACGACUUGUUCUGAAACUUGGAGUCUGGGGGGAAUUUCACCCAAGGAAAAAAGGAUGGCUUUGUGAUGAAAGCAAUAUGGCACGGACAGUGGCAAAGCUUCAGAUUAGGAGACUCAGAUCCUAUUUCUGAUCAGGACUGGUUGAAAGGGUUUGGUUUUGUCCCCAUUAAAGUUUCUAGUCAGUGGCUCGUGUUACGUACACACUUCACUUGACACCAUCAAUGAAGUAGUUAAACUACAGCCUACUGAUGCAAAAGAGCUGUUCUGUGUUCCAGCUAGGGCAAUCAUUUUUUGCUCAUUAAGCACUACCAAGCUUGCAAUUUAAAGAAACAUGUACAUGUAAUUAAGGUAAUGUAAAGUGAUAAAAACAAAUGGGUUAGGUAAAUUGUAAGGAGCCAUCAGCGUGGGGAGGUUGAGUUAUUAAUCGAUAGCCCAGCCUGGCGUACUAUAGCAUUCCUCAAGAGGCAAAAAGGGCAAAGGGAAUAUUGGUCCUAUUGAUUCUUCCUUGACCAAUUUAUUAGGGAGGCGAUCACUGAGUUGGAAAGGAAGUUACCAGGCAUCCUAUUCAUAAAGCUUAUCCUCAGCAUUAUCCAGUCACAUAACUGUAACUGGCUUUAGCUCAGCAUCCUCAUUGUAUAAAAGCCAUGGUAGAUGAUGCUGUCAAAAUAGCGAUAGCUCCUGAAAGCUGAAUUUGCGAGAUUCCAGAAGUGUGUUUGAAUCAUUCAUGAGUAUGAAAACAAAACCCAGCUGGCCAUUGUUAAAAAGGUACCAGCAACAUAUACCAGGGAACAAUCCGGCAGUCUGUGACCACGCUAAUGCAAGCAUUUGUCCCAUCCACUCACUCCUGUUCCAUGUAGAUGAGACGCUGAAAAGCAGCAACUACAUUACAGUCUGUAACCCCACCAGAGCUGCUCUCGGUCUCAGGCAACUCAAUGGUGCGUACCCAGCAUUGCUCUAAUGGGAUCUACAUUGCACUGGUCCUGAAUUUACCUCGCAUGGAGGGGGAUAGAGGGGCGUAGGUGCAUGUUUGCAGCAGCAGUCUCUAGCAGUGGUAGAAAUCAUAGACAUGGCCUGGUUGUGAGACCGCUGGGGGUUUGUCAGGUGAAACAAAAUGUUCCCUCCAAGAGAGCAACUAGUUCAAGCAAAAGGGAGCAAAUCAGGAAACCAAGUACGGGCCCAGUGCUGGGAGGUGUCAAAUACCCAUGCUCCCAUCCAAGGCAACAGGAGGUGAGAGCAUUUGGCACCUUGUAGUAAGUCAGUAAUUUGCAGCCUGAAGUUUUGAGCUGCAGAUCUUCCUCCCUGUUUUCCACUGUACCUCAGUCAACCAACACCAGAUCAUGGCUCCGUGCUCAGGGAAAUAAAGCUUGGGGCCAAUGAACAGCAAACACUGACCCCAGAGAACUCUUCUGUGCAAUACAGCAGGUGGGAGUCUGAAUGCCCAACCUCCUUGCUCUGUUUCCAAAGGACUCCCCUGCCAGCUCACACCUGCAUGCAAUGCUAUCUCCCUGCCAAAGCAGGCCUGAGGCCAGCAGAGCUGUCUUUCCCAUCUGCUUGUGUGUGCGAGGUGAAUUGAAUGUACCAGCAAAUACUCCGAAGUACCUAAUAUUUUACUCAAAUAUGAAUGAAGACAUAUAUGGACUUGAAGCAGAGUAAGAAAUUAUGGGCAAGACCUUACCCCACCUAUUGUGAAUUAGUCCUCUAAGCAGCUCUGAGGCAUUUUAGAUCCUACUUUACCCUGCCUGAGAGCCUAAAAAAUCAUUAACACGUCUACGUUUGGAACACACCUUCAUCUUAGUCCUAACACUAAGUCACAAAAAGCAGCGAUGACAAAGAGGGGGACCCACAUGCAUUUUGGGUUAAUGUACUUUCAAGGACACUGGAGUAGGAUCACAUUUAUGGGAUGUCUGGACCACUUCUAAAGAAAACCACUAAGAAGCACAUCCACCUGCCUAAUGCCACCAAGUCCAGGGGAAGUGGAGCUGUCCUGCAGGCAACCCUCGUUAAUGGGUUUCUGGCUCCAGCAUACUUGAGAGAAGCUGCCCUGAGAUUUCCAGACCAGAGCUGCUCUGCCUCCUCUCCAGGACUGGCACAUGUUGGGCAGGAGCAGGUCAGUGGGGUAUCCUUCUCAACAGCACUCCCAGGACGCCCUGGGGACACUUAAACGGCCUUAGACACUUACCUACUGCUCCCAUGCCUAACAGGAGGAAGAGGAUGCACCUAAUGCAUUGGUGAAGGUUUGGCAUCAUGCACAAGGCUCCCAAGCAGAGCCAGGGGGAAAAACAUUUUACCAUCCAGCAAAUAUUUAUAAGAUAUUUAAAUCUUUUCCCUAUCUUGAAUUGAUAAUCUCAAUCAUAUCUUUGAACCAAAAAUCUGGAGGGGAAAAAUGUUACACUGGGCAAGCUGAAACAUUUGCUUCCAUUUGGAUGGUUUGGGGUUGAUUUUAUUCCCAUGAGAGUGGACAUUUUUAAACAAAACAUUCUUUUGAACCAGAAUGUUUCUGGCCAUCUACACGCUAUUUUUGCAACUGUUUAGGAGUCAAAAAAUUGCAGAAUGCCAACCCUGUCCCAGAGAGAUUUUCAGUUUGAGUGUUUUCUGGCAAGAAAAUGUUUUCUUCGAAGCUUCUGACUAGCUCCGUGCUCAAAUCACAAAAGCUUAUGAAACCUUCCCUGCGGACUGCAUUACAGCAUUUAAAACUGGGCUUGGGACUAAUGUGACAAUGGUGUUGAGUGGCGGUUCAUGUAGACGGGAUAAUAUCGUGUGAAGGGGAGAACAACCCAGGAACCGAGAAAGGAAGGUGAUCACUGAUAGGCAGCGGCUGAAAUGCCUAGGAUGGCUACAAGAGGAGCUGUAUGGAAAAUGUCUAACCCAAGCCAUGGAGCCUGCUGCAGAAAUAUAGGAUCUGUUCUUUCCCUCACUCCACCCUCCCUGCUUUAACCAUUGGUACUGAGUUAAUACUACAGGAGCUCAGCAGCUUAAAGAACCACUUUGAAUGCCUUCAAGACACAUUUGGAUGCUUUAUCUUGCUGGGAUCCUAUGACCCCAGCUGACUUUCUGCCCCUGGAGCAGGAGGCUGGAUUCGAUGAUCCUCCGGGGUCCCUUCCAGCCCUAACGUCUAUGAAAUAAACUCAGCUCUCAAGUCAAAUGUCUCCAGCCAGCUCCCGGGGCAGGGGAGAGGGAUGGAGAGGGCAGAAGGGUAGGAAAGAGGAGCAAGGAAUUGUGGGAUUGGCAGGCAUCCCUAUUCUCUGCCCUUCAUCAUAGGUUGACCCAUCCAAUCUGAGGGGGAGGGCAGUGGGUUAGGGGUUCGACCCACUCUCAGGUUAGAGCAGCGAUUCUGAACCUUUUUCAGUCGACGUACCCCUUGGUCUCAGAGUGAGACUUCACGUACCCCCUUUCAAUGGGAAAUUAAUUUUGAUGUCGAGCUACAUGUAAUCGUGUA